GACGAACGCUGGCGGCGUGCCUAAUACAUGCAAGUCGAACGGUCUUUUCUAUGGAAGCUUGCUUCCGCUGAGAAGAAAGUGGCGAACGGGUGAGUAACACGUGGGUAACCUGCCCAUAAGAGGGGGAUAACAUCCGGAAACGGGUGCUAAUACCGCAUAGUUUUCUUGAUCGCAUGAUUGAGAAAGGAAAGACGGCCUUUGUGCUGUCGCUUAUGGAUGGACCCGCGGCGUAUUAGUUAGUUGGUAAGGGAACGGCUCACCAAGACGAUGAUACGUAGCCGUACUGAGAGGGGGAGCGGCCACAUUGGGACUGAGACACGGCCCAAACUCCUACGGGAGGCAGCAGUAGGGAAUCUUCCGCAAUGGACGAAAGUCUGACGGAGCAACGCCGCGUGAGUGAAGAAGGUUUUCGGAUCGUAAAACUCUGUUGUCAGAGAAGAACAAGUCGGAGAGUAACUGCUCCGGCCUUGACGGUAUCUGACCAGAAAGCCACGGCUAACUACGUGCCAGCAGCCGCCGUAACAC
rnacentral:rRNA from 1 species